AUCACAAAAAGAAAUCAAGUUCUUUCUCUCAAUAAUAUCUCUCUCUAGAAAACUUGAAAAAGAAAGAUUCAACCUAGGUUUCAUGUCAAGUCUCAACUCCUCCAUUGAAGAUUAUCAAUUGGCUUGUAGUGGAAGCACGGACAUUUACGCACAAAAAAAGAACAAAAGGGCUGAAAAAAAUGUAAUAGUUGAAGUUGAGCCUCACCAUCAUCCCUUUGUUCCAAUACCCGAAGCCCAGAAGGAAGUGAAUCGAAAGGCAAUGACAGGAUCAUUUGGAAUAUCGCCGAUCAGUUCCACAAAGCAUAUAUGUACCGCCCAAUGAUCCAUGACACAAACAUGCUAAACUCGAAGCACAAAAGGCGAUGAACCGGAGGAAAGGAGAAUCACCAAGUCAUUGGACGAUCACGAGUCACCUUGUCGAAUGGUCCGCAUCAACACUUAAAUUGAAAUAAAUAAAUAAUAGUUGUAGGCGUUAUUUUUAGGAAGUACAAGCAUUAUUAUUACUUAGUUUUUUAUUUUUUCUCUCAAGUUUGGAAAGGGUUUUUGUGGGAGACUUGAAGAAGCAAGGGUUUCAUCUUCCCCAAGUUUGAAGUGGCUCUUCUCUAUUUUCAUCAUUUGCUCAUAUUAACAUUAAAUUUCUUAUACCCAUUUGAUUUCAUUAUCAUUUUAGGUGUAAUUUGUUAUUGCUUGAUGUGUGUCUAAAAAUCCCCAUUCUUGGGGUGUGAUUUAACAAAUAUGAGUUAUUAUU